AGGUAUCUCUGCAUUAGCUAGAUUGGACAUAUGUAAAGGGACAUCAGUAUAUCUGGAUCAUCAGAUUGUACUUCAAGAAGACCAUAGGGAAGAACGCAUUUUCAUCUUGCUGCAAAAGUUGCAAUAGAAGAUCUGAAGGUUUGAAUGGGCCAAUGAGUAUCCUCAUCAUUGAAGCAUUCUAUGGAGGCUCCCAUAAACAGCUGGUGGAUCUUCUCCAAGAAGAGUUAGGAGACUGUGUCGUUUAUACCCUUCCUGCAAAGAAAUGGCAUUGGAGAGCCCGGACAUCUGCUUUAUAUUUCUCUCAGACCAUUCCCAUCAGUGAGCAUUACAGGCAAUCAGAAAUUACAAAUUAGGAAACAGGCAAGAUGAGAAUGGAAUGUUAACCUUUUGGUAUGAAGCAGGUCAACAUUGAAAAUGCAACAAGCCUGGAUCCAGCUUCCUGAAAAGAAGCUCCUUGGUGACUCUUUUUCUUCCAGCUUCAGUUGAUUAUUUCUAGUAUCCAACCCUUUUUACUUUCUCUGAAUCUCUCUGAGGAACAUCCUGGAGUUUCUUUUCUGGCUUUCAUUGUAACUAGUUCCUGGCCUACCUGAGGGGAUGAAUAGCAUUAUGGGGUAGGUGCUGCAGACCAUAUGAAGACCAGCAGGAUACAAGAGUGUGAGAUGCCUAGGGAAAGCCUCCCUUUGUCAGGUUAAAGGAGAGAGGUUUCCAUUUGGAGGCAGCUGAAAUAGAGAACGAAGUAUUGAGCACAAAUUUACAAAUCAAAAUAACAGUCUUCCAGGGAUAGAGCAUGGACCAACAUGAUACAGUGUCAACCUGCAUUUUCAUGGGUGAAGGAUGGAUGGACUAUAGUAAUCAAAACAGAAACAUAGCAUCCUCUGGACAUAGUGACCACAGAGACAGAGAUCUUUGUAUUAGUAAUGAUAGGUAAUGUUUAUAAAGUGCCUCACUGAUUGCUUAUGUGUGUGUCAUCUCAU
rnacentral:sRNA from 1 species